UCACUCCUGGCCUGGAGGGUAGGGGUAAAAUAGGUGGUUCGUAGGCAAGGGCCAGCUGUCUCUCUUUUUUAUAUUACACUUUUAGAUUAUGAACCAUGGGCACAUAAUAUUGAAUAGCAAACUAAUUCGAAAAAGUCUUUCAAGUUGUGUAGUAAAUGUUAGGAAAGAAAUAGGGCAGUAACAGAAGGGAGUGGCAAGUUCUCCUUAAAGCACCUUCAGAAGAUGAAACUGAAAAUGUGAGGGGGAGGGGUUAGGUGGAACAAGGCCCGGAGUGGGAGGAGAGAGGCCCAGGGCCCAGAGGAAGCUCUCCCAACAACGGAGGAGAAAGGGCCUUCUGUGGUGGCGGGUGGAAAAUGGUGAGGAGGCGGCGAGGAAAAUGGAGAGGGCGCUGCCAGGAUUCCAUCUCGGCCGAAAGCAGGCGUUGAUGUAGUGAUAUUUACACUCGUCGGACCUGCAAAAUGCUCUGCAGAAUGCUCGUGGGCCUGAAAAGAACGAGUUCUCAGACCUUACUGGUGUAAAUGGGAAUUGUUUCGGCGUCGGGGGCUGAAUAUUCCAGGCAGCCACGUUUAUGGUGGUAAACACAGUAAACAAAGAAAAGGACAUGAACAACAUAAUUAUUAGAUGAGCUGAGGCGCCUUCACGCCGUGCAUCAAUAGUCAGCCAUUAGUAGAGUAAACCCGGACAGGACUUCGGGUUUCCAAGGUGUGCUAGAAAAGCAAGAUGCCAGUGUAGUAUGCUAUGCGAUGCCAUCUUAGAAAACAAAAGGAAACACUGUGAGUGUGUGUGUGUGUGUGUGUGUGUGUGUGUGUGCGCGCGCGCGCGCGCGCCCGUAGUUUUACGUGAGCAUGGGGGUAAAUACGCUGGCCAAAAUUGGGAUGGCGGAAGCAGAAGGAGAGAGGGGGAAAAUCCUUAACACUUGCAGAGUAAAACGAGCAAGUGCAAAAUAAAAAACAAAAAAGCUACGUAGGGCGCCAGGGUCGCAGGUAAAGACCGUGAGGCAGGGCUGAUCCGGGCGCAGGCCAAGCGGCACCGGACCAGGGGCACCUCCGGCUUCGCCGCCGGUGGCUAUACUUCCAGUCCGAGGAUGUCCGCUCGGCGCGCGUACCUCGGUGCGAGCUUCCCCCGAGCUCUUUGUUAACGGAGGGUGGGGAGAAAGCGGGGCAGGCGCCUAGCGCACCGGGCAGCGGCGGCUUGGGGGGUGGGGCGGGGACGGCCCAACGAGUUGCUCGCCUCGCUGCCCUUCCCCCACCGCCCGGCCGCAGCCCCUGCCGGCCGCCCAGGUCUCGUCCCGCCUCACGGCCGGCGCUCCCCGGCCCGGGCCGCUCCGCACGCCUCGCCGCCUGCUGGGCUACUGAUGCCCUCCAUCCACACAAAGACGCGUGCGCCCGGGCGGGGAGCGCAGGGGCUGGCACGCACCACCGGCGGGCCUUCUGUCUGCACCCCCUCUCCCGGCCGCCGCCGGCGCACUCCCACGGCCCCCACUCCCUCGUCUCUCGUCUGAGCCGCCAUUUGCUCCUCGCCUCCCCGACUCAGCUACCGGUAAUCUCAGAUCUACUUUCCGUCUCUUCGCAAGAGGAGCAUGGGAAUAUGGAGACAUGAACUGAUUCAAGGAAUCUGGCCUGGGGAAGGCCUCAUGCACAGAUUCUGAGCAGACAGGGUCUUGUCUUAAAGAGCCUUGGACCAAAUUUACUACCAGCCUUAUCCCGACCCCCAUUUCCCCAGCUUCAAAGGGAAUAUAGGUGACCACAGACUCCGAAGUCUUGCAGGUUGGUGCAGACUUUUGAGAACCUGUCGUACAUCUCUCACCCUUGUUCCAAUGGGUACUAUUUGCUAACACUAGAACUCAUACUGUCCCACAUUUGAUCUUUCCUUCCUCAACCACCAACUUCUACUUCCUUCUACUACUGUCUUCAGAAUGCCAAUAUUUUUGUGUCCCAGUUUCAUCUUGGGCACCAAGGAGUAGGAUGAACUUUAUAGUUCUGAAAUUCUAGGUUCAGAAAAUAGUGCUGUGGAGCACAAGGUGGGUGGGUUUCACUGUCACUCAUGCCUGCACCUGUGAACAGGGAACCUCCUGAGGAAACACAUAUGGUCUCAUCAUAUUCCACAGUCACCCAGACACAUCUCUCAAGGCCUGACUUCCUUUCCUCCCCACGCCCCACCCUCUGGGCAGAAGUAGCUGAGAAGGUGCUUCUCCAGCUCUUUCCUCUUCCCUGCUUAGCUCUAUUAUAGUUCACUAGGCCAACACUUUUCUUAGAACCAAAGUGUUUCUAUUUAGGGGUCUGGGGAGCAAUUCCAUUUCCCUCUAUCAUCUCACCUGGAUUUUCUGGCUUUCAGAAGAAAAUGCUCCACUCAGAGAUCUUGACUUACUUCUUCCCAAGCAGUGAGUCAUAUUCACAGACAAACCUUAUCUCCUGGGCCACAACCUGGUUGGCUCCCAACUCACAGAAUAUGAUCAAAGACUGUGUGUCUUUGUAUCUUUAUAUUAACUUGCACAUAAUUCAUUUAAACUUUGGAGAAAAACGCCUCAUCAUAUCCUCCUACCUCCCCACCACUUGUUUUAAUUUUCUCCACAGCUCAUCUGACAUACUAUACCAUCCUUCCUCCCUCCCUCCCUCCUUCCCUUUCUUCUUUCCUUCCUUUCUUUCAUACUCUUUUUCUCUCUCUCCUCAUUGGCCUAUAAACUUUUUGAAGGUAGGGCUUUUGUUUGUUUUGUUCAUUUCUGUAUCCAUAGGACCCAGCUCAAUGCCUGGCACAGGGUACUCAAUAAAUGUUGAAUAAACAAA